GUUGGGGUGGAGUGGCAGCCCUGUCUGGGGUCAGGAAGGCUGGGGUAUCUAAUAGAGUUCCUGUCUUGGCACUGCUACUCAUAAGGUGCGUUCUUGGGCACUCUCUCUGGGCCUGGUAUCAUUUAUUUAAAAUGUAAGAAUCCUCUGAGGGUUGGGGGCGAAUCCAGCAAGAUGAUGUGAGGGAGGACGUCAGAGUAGCUUUUUGGUGAGAUGGUGGUCAUUACCAUCAUUUCACUGUGCUUGCGGCUGAGUGACUCCAUGUGUGCAAGAUCCCCUGCUCAGCUCAGCACUGCGGGGUGUGGGGCUGGGGCAAGGGUUCUGGAGAUCAUCAGGUCAGUUCCAGAUGGUUCCACAGGGUCACCCCAGGUCAGGAGGACAGGGAAGAGAGGCAGAGAGGGCUGUCCCCUGAGCACCUCCCAUGCAGGAUGUGUCUUAGAGUCAUCACAGUGCUCUACCCCCAAUUGUCAGUCAGACAUGAGGACUGCAGAGAGGUCCUCAGUUGUUGGAGCAACACUGUGGAGAGAUCUACAAAGCACAGCACCUCAGGAAAGAAGCACCGAGUGGAAAGGGUCAUUCAUGUGAACAGGAAGCACAAACUGCACAUAAACACCACGUGCUUCCUGUGUUUGUGUGAAUACAUCAGACAAAUUCAAGUGGAUGGCUUUUGGAAGCAAGAGAAAGGAAGUGGACAAGGAGAUGGGAAGACCAGAAGAAAAAUUUAUAAGACAAAUGGGAGUUCUAACAUAGGCAAAAACUCAGGAAGAUCAAUGUCACAUUCUGCAUCUUCAAAAGUAGGAGAAGCAAACAGAGAAGGGAAAUCUCUGACUCCUUCCUGACCUGGGAAACAGUUUACAAUUAACAUUCCUGGUUUAGUCUCCACCCCCUCUUGAAAUGGAAUUUUUAUCUCUUGAUUCCUGCUACAAGAUGCGAUGCCUGUUUAUCCAGUUGCAUGAAUAAUUGGUCAGCUCUUUCCAACUUGCCAGAAGCAACCCCUGGCCGUUUCUGGAGCACUGGGAGAGACCUUCGCACAGUUUCUGCUUGGAGUCCACCGCUCUUCAUCUCAGGUCUAGACAGCUACCUGUUCUAUUUGGCUUAGCCUGUGCUGCAGAAAGUCCCAGUUCUUCCAAAUCAAGCUCCAGGAAAUUGAGAAGCAUGUUAUUAGUUUUAGCAAACAAUUUAAACAAAACUAAGACCAGAUCUCCCAGCAAUGGUGAAGGAUCUCAAGGGAGACCUUGGUCACAGUGGGCCUGGCUUCCCUACAGGCACUGCCUGCCAUAGAGGACAAGCCAUCGAAAAGUGAGGGUUUGAAGCACAGUAGGUCUCUGCAAAUAUUUAUUAAAUGAAUGCACAUGUAUUCAAACCCAGGAGAUGGAGGAGAAAGAUCAGAGGGAGGAUUUGAUAAACAGAAGGCUUCUAAGAAACAGCUUCCAACUCAAAUCAGUCCUUAAAAAUUUUUUAUUUUAUUGUACUAAGAACACUUAACAUGAGAUCUACCCUCUUAACAAAUUUUAAAGUGAAUUUCAAAUUAUUAAAUCGAAAGAUGAUUAAAAAAACAGUUGAAAAGGCACUCAAUAUUCACUCGCUACCUUGGAAACGUGUUAAUUAUCAUUAUCAUAUCAUGUGACUGCUUCGGAUUAAGCGUCUGAGCUGGGCUAAGCACGGAGCUGAGAGCUUUGCACCUAUUCGCUUGUCUGGGCCUCCCGGGAGCCUGGCGUGCAGGUUCUGCCCCCUCCCUCGUCAGAGUGGAGACAAUGGAGGCUGCAGAAGCCUUUCUCCCACUACCACCCUGCCAGGUGCUGCCUCGGCUGAGCAAUGGG
ensembl:lncRNA